rnacentral:rRNA from 1 species
AACGAACGCUGGCGGCAGGCCUAACACAUGCAAGUCGAGCGCCCUUUCGGGGGAGCGGCGGACGGGUGAGUAACGCGUGGGAAUAUGCCCUUCUCUACGGAAUAGCCUCGGGAAACUGAGAGUAAUACCGUAUACGCCCUGUGGGGGAAAGAUUUAUCGGGGAAGGAUUAGCCCGCGUUGGAUUAGGUAGUUGGUGGGGUAAUGGCCUACCAAGCCGACGAUCCAUAGCUGGUUUGAGAGGAUGAUCAGCCACACUGGGACUGAGACACGGCCCAGACUCCUACGGGAGGCAGCAGUGGGGAAUCUUAGACAAUGGGGGCAACCCUGAUCUAGCCAUGCCGCGUGAGUGAUGAAGGCCUUAGGGUUGUAAAGCUCUUUCAGCUGGGAAGAUAAUGACGGUGCCAGCAGAAGAAGCCCCGGCUAACUCCGUG